UUUGCGUUUAUAAUAUCUACUUCUUUUAUGCAACCUAUUGAAGCAUGUGAUUUUUUUAUAUUUAUUGUUGGGCAUGAUCCGAAACUUCGUUUUUCUAUCAAUAUCGGGUUCCAGGUAACAAACAGAUCUCUGAACUUCUUAUUUUCCUUCACGGCUUUGCUUAUUUUCUUCAUAUGUAACUGGGAGAGCUUACUAUCUUGCACUUGACCUCCUUCCGCAUUCCUACCUAACAAGCAGGGCCAUUGUUUUAGUGGAGAAGUACUGAGCUCCUGCUGCUUGAGAACAGGAAUGUCCUUGGUUUCUUGAAGAACAAUAGCCUGCGAAGCUUCUGGUGAAGGGUCCAGACUUCCCGAAGGAAAGCAACAUAUACUGCAAAUGUUCCUGUUAUUAAUGCAGUUGAUGAGCCAAUGCGACAUCUAGUUAUUUACGUGAAAGGUUCUUAUUGAUGGCAUAUCCGACAUGUUAUACGGAUCUCCAAAGUUGCUACUUGCUGCAGCAAACUUCCACUGAUAAAAACAAAAAGGUCGAACCUCCGCUUCAAUCUCCUCCAAAGAGGUAAGCUUCAAUAUAGUUUCCUCAUAUCCAUAAAAUGUUAACUAUUCUUACAUGUACUUUUACACAAACCACAUAUUUGUACUUCAUUACGUAACGGACAAUAAGAUUAUUACAGUUCUACCUUUCAUUUAACAUGCUCAAAUAAAGACCACUUAAAAACAGAGAUUCCACGGAUCAAAAAGAACCACCAGGAAUCAUAUAUGGAGCCAUACGAAACUGAUUAGUUUUAGCACUCUUCUACAUUUUGUCAUCUUUUGUUAUCGAUCAUACUUAUCCUUUUGUAACUAAAUAUACUGCCCGCACAUAUAAAUAACCAUUCAACCGUAGUACUGGAUACUAAGAUCAGUUGAUGUUGUCUAGCUUAUAAUUAUUUUGGAUAAUGGCCCACUUAGAUGUAUUACAAUAUCUCCUUUCUACAUACAUUUAAAAAAAUCAUACAAACUAUCGCGCUGCCACAGAUUUCUCAUUUUGUUUAAAACUAUUUUUCAACCGCGCAACAAUAAGAAGUAAGCACCACUUUCUUCAUACUCAAACUUCCAAGAGUAAUUGGUUUGUUGUGAAAUACCUUUUUGUGAGUUUCCUUUUGAUUAGUUUGUAAAACAAUUUUUACACAUAAGGAAUCAAGUAAGCGGAGAACAAAUUCAACGCACGCAUCUUUCAGUUUUCAUCUAUUUUCCUUUGUGAUCUCGACUUCUAUGCAUUCCCUUAUCUAUCAAGUAUUUAUAGUCUGUUUAUUAGGACUGCAUCAUAAUUGGUUUGCGCUAUUUACAGAAUCAUAUAUUCACACUUCUCUGUCCUAAAUUUAAUAAUAUAUCGAGCCAUCAAGUAUUUACAGUCUGAGGACUGAAUCAUAAUUGGUUUGCGCUACUUUAAAUUUACAGUAUUUAUAACUAGCAUUAUAAAUAGUGAAAAAUAUAGCUGCACUAUAUACACUCUAACACUUGGCAGAUAAUUGCAUAAGCUACCAUGUUUAUCAGUCGGAAAGAUAGCAACCAGUAAGGAACUUCCACGAUGUUGACAUACUUCAUUUUCAAAGUGUCUAUAUCCUUCUCGCUGCUCAAUGCUAAUUAUAUUUUCUAAUUCAUCCUUAUGUUUAUGCCUGACAGUCUUGCUUUGACUAUGAUCAUGACUAAGUACAAGGGUGAAAACUAUAUUCGGUUUUUCA